rnacentral:rRNA from 1 species
UACGAAGGUGGCAAGCGUUGUUCGGAAUCACUGGGCAUAAAGCGCGCGUAGGCGGCUGUGUAAGUCAGGUGUGAAAGCCCUCGGCUCAACCGAGGAACUGCGCCUGAUACUGCACGGCUUGAGGUCCGGAGGGGAGAGUGGAAUUCCCGGUGGAGCGGUGAAAUGCGUAGAGAUCGGGAAGAACGCCGGCGGCGAAAGCGACUCUCUGGUCGGAAUCUGACGCUGAGGAGCGAAAGCGUGGGGAGCGAACAGG